rnacentral:rRNA from 1 species
GACGAACGCUGGCGGCGCGCCUAACACAUGCAAGUUGAACGAGCGAGAGAGAGCUUGCUUUCUCGAGCGAGUGGCGAACGGGUGAGUAACGCGUGAGGAACCUGCCUCAAAGAGGGGGACAACAGUUGGAAACGACUGCUAAUACCGCAUAAGCCCACGACCCGGCAUCGGGUUGAGGGAAAAGGAGUGAUCCGCUUUGAGAUGGCCUCGCGUCCGACUAGCUAGUUGGUGAGGUAACGGCCCACCAAGGCGACGAUCGGUAGCCGGACUGAGAGGGUGAUCGGCCACAUUGGAACUGAGACACGGUCCAA